ACCUGAGGACAGACAGAGCCUCAGACUUCCUGCAGCUCCUGGCUCUGUGCUCUCAGGUGUUCCUUUUGUCACUCCCUGUACUUGGCGGAUAAAGAUGGAUCCAGGUCCAAAGGGGCACUGCCAUGGUGGUGGCAAUGGCCCAGGGCACUGUCCUGGGGGAAACCACCCCCCAGGGCCCUGUGGGCACCCCCCUGGCCAUGACCCAGGACAUGGUCCUGGGGGGAACCACCCCCCAGGGCCCUGUGGGCACCCCCCUGGCCAUGGCCCAGGACACGGUCCUGGGGGGAACCACCCCCCAGGUCCCUGUGGAUCCCCACCUGGUCCACCUCACUAAGGAAGCAGAAGAAAGAGGACACAAUGGGGAGCCCGAGUCGCGUUGCCCUGCUGACCUGGCAUGGAGCCUGAAGCAGAAUCUUCUCUUCCCAAUAAACAGCCUCCCAGAGGCCAUAUUUUAUUCUUAAA